GGGCUAGUGGCGCAAUGGAUAACGCGGUUGGAUUACAGAUCAAGAUAUUCUAGGUUCGACUCCUGGCUAGAUCG
rnacentral:tRNA from 1 species